GACUAACGCUGGCGGCGUGCUUAACACAUGCAAGUCGAACGGAAAGGCCCUGCUUUUGUGGGGUGCUCGAGUGGCGAACGGGUGAGUAACACGUGAGUAACCUGCCCUUGACUUUGGGAUAACUUCAGGAAACUGGGGCUAAUACCGGAUAGGAGCUCCUGCUGCAUGGUGGGGGUUGGAAAGUUUCGGCGGUUGGGGAUGGACUCGCGGCUUAUCAGCUUGUUGGUGGGGUAGUGGCUUACCAAGGCUUUGACGGGUAGCCGGCCUGAGAGGGUGACCGGCCACAUUGGGACUGAGAUACGGCCCAGACUCCUACGGGAGGCAGCAGUGGGGAAUAGUGCACAAUGGGCGGAAGCCUGAUGCAGCAACGCCGCGUGCGGGAUGACGGCCUUCGGGUUGUAAACCGCUUUCGCCUGUGACGAAGCGUGAGUGACGGUAAUGGGUAAAGAAGCACCGGCUAACUACGUG
rnacentral:rRNA from 1 species